GCAGCAGUGGGGAAUAUUGCACAAUGGGGGAAACCCUGAUGCAGCGACGCCGCGUGGAGGAAGAAGGUCUUCGGAUUGUAAACUCCUGUUGUUGAGGAAGAUAAUGACGGUACUCAACAAGGAAGUGACGGCUAACUACGUGCCAGCAGCCGCGGUAAAACGUAGGUCACAAGCGUUGUCCGGAAUUACUGGGUGUAAAGGGAGCGCAGGAGGGAAGGCAAGUUGGAAGUGAAAUCCAUGGGCUCAACCCAUGAACUGCUUUCAAAACUGUUUUUCUUGAGUAGUGCAGAGGUAGGCGGAAUUCCCGGUGUAGCGGUGGAAUGCGGAGAUAUCGGGAGGAACACCAGUGGCGAAGGCGGCCUACUGGGCACCAACUGACGCUGAGGCUCGAAAGUGUGCGUAGCAAACAGGAUUAGAUACCCUGGUAGUGCACACUGUGGCCGAUGUUUACUAGGUGUUGGAGGAUUGACCCCUUCAGUGCCGCAGUUAACACAAUAAGUAAUCCACCUGGGGAGUACGACCGCAAGGUUG
rnacentral:rRNA from 1 species